CCGGCUAACUCCGUGCCAGCAGCCGCGGUAAUACGGAGGGUCCGAGCGUUAUCCGGAAUCAUUGGGUUUAAAGGGUCCGUAGGCGGGCUAUUAAGUCAGAGGUGAAAGUUUGCAGCUCAACUGUAAAAUUGCCUUUGAUACUGGUAGUCUUGAAUUAUUAUGAAGUGGUUAGAAUAAGUAGUGUAGCGGUGAAAUGCAUAGAUAUUACUUAGAAUACCAAUUGCGAAGGCAGAUCACUAAUAAUAUAUUGACGCUGAGGGACGAAAGCGUGGGGAGCGAACAGGAUUAGAUACCCUGGUAGUCCACGCCGUAAACGAUGGAUACUAGCUGUGCGGA
rnacentral:rRNA from 14 species